rnacentral:rRNA from 1 species
UCGGAAUUGCCAGUAAUCGCGGAUCAGCAUGCCGCGGUGAAUACGUUCCCGGGCCUUGUACACACCGCCCGUCACACCAUGGGAGCCGGUAAUACCCGAAGUCAGUAGUCCAACCUCGUGAGGACGCUGCCGAAGGUAGGAUUGGCGACUGGGGUGAAGUCGUAACAAGGUAAC